GAGCUGCUGGCAUCAAGCC
rnacentral:misc_RNA from 1 species